rnacentral:rRNA from 1 species
GACGAACGCUGGCGGCGUGCUUAACACAUGCAAGUCGAACGGAAAGGCCCUGCUUUUGUGGGGUGCUCGAGUGGCGAACGGGUGAGUAACACGUGAGUAACCUGCCCUUGACUUUGGGAUAACUUCAGGAAACUGGGGCUAAUACCGGAUAGGAGCUCCUGCUGCAUGGUGGGGGUUGGAAAGUUUCGGCGGUUGGGGAUGGACUCGCGGCUUAUCAGCUUGUUGGUGGGGUAGUGGCUUACCAAGGCUUUGACGGGUAGCCGGCCUGAGAGGGUGACCGGCCACAUUGGGACUGAGAUACGGCCCAGAGUCCGACGGGAGGCAGCAGUGGGGAAGAUGGCACAAUGGGCGGAAGCCUGAUGCAGCAACGCCGCGUGCGGGAUGACGGCCUUCGGGUUGUAAACCGCUUUCGCCUGGGACGAAGCGUGAGUGACGGUAAUGGGUAAAGAAGCACCGGCUAACUACGUG